UCUGCUGCUUGAAUCCCACCCCUCUAUCUGCAGGACCCCGAGCCGUAAUGAUCCUGCAACAGCCCCUGGAGCGAGGCCCCCCAGGGCGGGACCCACGGGCCACCACUGGGGUGACUCUUGGCCUGGAUACCAGGAUAACCCCAGUCCCUACUACUCUGCGUCCCCAGCUGGGGAGAUCAUGGAGCUCUGAGUGUCGAUGACCUGUGUCCCUCCCCACCUUCUUCCUGACUAUAGAGACCAGCAACUCCCAGAAAGGGAUGAAGGCCUUCUCCAAACCCGGUGCCUGGCCACCAGGACCUUCCCCUGACAGGAGGACACUGAGCUCGGUGGAACGUUAGAUUCGAAGCAGCCUGGGAAGAGAAGGUGUCACCCCAUUAGUGAAUAAAGACCUGUGAGCAGUUGAAGGUUU
rnacentral:lncRNA from 1 species